CCUACGGGUGGCAGCAGUGAGGAAUAUUGGUCAAUGGACGAGAGUCUGAACCAGCCAAGUAGCGUGAAGGAUGACUGCCCUAUGGGUUGUAAACUUCUUUUAUAUGGGAAUAAGAUGUUGCACGUGUGGGUUUUUUUAUGUACCAUAUGAAUAAGGAUCGGCUAACUCCGUGCCAGCAGCAGCGGUAAUACGGAGGAUCCGAGCGUUAUCCGGAUUGAUUGGGUUUAAAGGGAGCGUAGGUGGAUUGUUAAGUCAGUUUUGAAAGUUUGCGGCUCAACCGUAACAUUGCAGUUGAUACUGGCAGAAUUGAGUACAGUAGAGGUAGGCGGAAUUCGUGGUGUAGCGGUGAAAUGCUUAGAUAUCACGAAGAACUCCGAUUGCGAAGGCAGCUCACUGGACUGCGACUGACACUGAGGCUCGAAAGUGUGGGUAUCAAACAGGAUUAGAUACCCUUGUAGUC
rnacentral:rRNA from 1 species